rnacentral:rRNA from 1 species
AGUUUGAUCCUGGCUCAGGACGAACGCUGGCGGCGUGCUUAACACAUGCAAGUCGAACGAUGAAGCCUUUCGGGGUGGAUUAGUGGCGAACGGGUGAGUAACACGUGGGCAAUCUGCCCUUCACUCUGGGACAAGCCCUGGAAACGGGGUCUAAUACCGGAUAAUACCUGCUUCCUCCUGGGAGUGGGUUGAAAGCUCCGGCGGUGAAGGAUGAGCCCGCGGCCUAUCAGCUUGUUGGUGGGGUAAUGGCCUACCAAGGCGACGACGGGUAGCCGGCCUGAGAGGGCGACCGGCCACACUGGGACUGAGACACGGCCCAGACUCCUACGGGAGGCAGCAGUGGGGAAUAUUGCACAAUGGGCGAAAGCCUGAUGCAGCGACGCCGCGUGAGGGAUGACGGCCUUCGGGUUGUAAACCUCUUUCAGCAGGGAAGAAGCGAAAG